rnacentral:misc_RNA from 1 species
ACGAGUUUUGAAAGGGGUUGUAGCUGGCUUCAAACGAGGCAUGUGCACACCCUGCUCAUCCACUCUCAACCUCUGUGCACUUACUGUAGGUCGGUCGAUGGCUCAGUCGUGGUAACACUCUGAGUUUUGAAGCCUUCCUAUGUUUUACUACAAACGCUUUAGUUAUAGAAUGUUACUCUGCGUAUAACGCAUCUAUAUA